CCUACGGGAGGCAGCAGUGGGGAAUCUUGCGCAAUGGGCGAAAGCCUGACGCAGCCAUGCCGCGUGAAUGAUGAAGGUCUUAGGAUUGUAAAAUUUCUUUCACCGGGGACGAUAAUGACGGUACCCGGAGAAGAAGCCCCGGCUAACUUCGUGCCAGCAGCCGCGGUAAUACGAAGGGGGCUAGCGUUGCUCGGAAUUACUGGGCGUAAAGGGAGCGUAGGCGGAUAGUUUAGUCAGAGGUGAAAGCCCAGGGCUCGAACCUUGGAAUUGCCUUUGAUACUGGCUAUCUUGAGUGUGGGAGAGGUAUGUGGAACUCCGAGUGUAGAGGUGAAAUUCGUAGAUAUUCGGAAGAACACCAGUGGCGAAGGCGACAUACUGGCCCAUUACUGACGCUGAGGCUCGAAAGCGUGGGGAGCAAACAGGAUUAGGAUACCCUGGUAGUCCACGGCUGUAAACGAUGAGUGCUAGUUGUCGGCAGCGAUGCUCGUCGGUGCGCGAGCUACGCAUAGACACGUCCGCCGUGGGAGGUACGGUCGCGAGAGUUAAACGUACGUAAAGUUAAGUUAGUACGGCGUUGAGACGNGCCGACGGACGACGACGAGGGAGAGG
rnacentral:rRNA from 1 species